CAGCCGGCACCGGGCGGCAGCAGCGCCGCCCAGCUCAGCCCGGGGGCAGGGACAGAGCAGAGGGAAAAGCCGGGGCAGUUCUGUCACAAGAAGCAACAGUGCACGCCCAGAAAAAUAGCUCAAGGCAAGGUCCCCUUUCAUACUGAAGCAUUCAGUGAAUAUGACCAGCAGAGACCCCUCUUAAUGAAUCUGCAGGACCAUCAAAAGACUUCCAGGAGGAGAAGUAUUGCAACUUGCUGGAAUUCCAGAUUGUGUCAAAUAUGACACUUUGCAUUUGUUCAGCAGUUUCAUUGUGCUGCAAGAGGGAGCUACCCUGGGUCAGACAUGACAUUGGAGAUGGAGGCUUCUGAUAGCUGACUAAGAGGCCAACCUGGUGAUCCCAGUGCCUUUGGAGAUGGCUGAGGUGGACUCCUUUUGCAUCCAAGGGAGAGCAUGUAAACCUGAUAUGAACGGAGGAGACCAGAGGAGCACAGCAGCGAGGUGGUCUGCAGCAUUGAAAUUGCUACUCCAACAUGACAGACACCCUUGCAGAAAGAGGUCACAGUUGAGCAGUUUCAGGUGGAACCUACCUCGGCAAUGCAACACUUUUGGACACUACAUCGGCAUGUGCCUUUCCAUUUUGUUUUUCCUCUUCUCCCCUGGGAAGGAAGUAAACCUGGAUAUCAGCAGUCAAGGUUGAGUGAGUGAGGUGGCCCACUUGUAUUAUGCCUGCAGGGGCUGAACCCCCUCAUGGACCAGCUGAUGGAGCCAGUUUAUCACCCUUGAGCUGCCCCUGUGCGCCUUCCAGAAGUAUUACAGGGCUCUGUGAUGAAGCCUGUACCUUUUCUGUUUGAAGGGAUACCCUGUGACAGUGGCCUCGGAGUGCGGCCACAGCGUGUGAGCCGAGGACCGGGGCGUUCUCGGGAGCCGUAGACUGAGAGAACAGCCCUCUGAGGGCAGGAG